rnacentral:rRNA from 1 species
UACGAAGGGGGCUAGCGUUGCUCGGAAUUACUGGGCGUAAAGGGCCAGUAGGCGGCCAACUAAGUCGGAUGUGAAAUCCCCCAGGCUCAACUUGGGAACUGCAUCCGAUACUGGAUGGCUUGAAGUUCGGGAGAGGGAUGCAGAAUUCCAGGUGUAGCGGUGAAAUGCGUAGAUAUCUGGAGGAACACCGGUGGCGAAGGCGGUCUCUGGGCCUGUACUGACGCUGAGGAGCGAAAGCGUGGGGAGCGAACAGG